GGAAACUAAGUUUGCACAUUUCCCUUGCUAACUAUCUCUGGAAAUUGCCUAUUAACUACAUCAAAGAAGUUAGACAUCUUCAGAGUGUCAAGAUUACAAUUGCUGGGUCAUGAAGUGCUAAAAAGUCAAUUCCAUUGGAUUUGCCCUGCUAACAUAUAAAGCUUGGGAUGUAGUAAAGAAAAUAAUAAUGCACAGUUGGAAAGAAACUACAGUCUCACUUGAACAAUCUCGGAUUGAAGAAAUGUGUUCACUUUCAUCCUUUCAAUUAAUCCUUUAUAGAUAUAAUGCAAAGAUGGAUCAAUAUGACUCCUUGUGGUAAAUGUUCGAUCUGUGAGCCACUUUACAUUAUGAUUCUACUUGAUACUCAGAUUGUAAAGUAAUUUGUUAUGUUUUAGUUCUGUUAUUUUCUUUUUUUAAACUUUUUUACCUAUUUCUUUUACAUUAGCACAUCACACAGUAAAAUAUUACUAAAAGGUAUUAAGAAAUGAAGCCUUUGAGCCAAUAAUCAGAAGUCUCCUCAAGAUGACAAUAACAUACAGCUUCACAACAUGUGAAAUAGGAGAGGUUGUGAAUAUCCCAACCCAGUGGCUGGCUACAAUAAUGGAGAAGAUGAGGAACAGUAAACUAAAUGUGCAUCCUGGAAGUUGGAGACUGUGUGGGAUGAAGUGGCUUUUCAUCUCAAAUCAUGUAAUAAUGUUUAUUCUUAAUUCCAUUUAUGCAUCUGUUAGACAUCCCUCUUUUUUCCCAGGCCAAGCCUAUAUGAAUGUUGUAUGUAUUGUUUUGAGUUAGGUUUGUUUGGUUUUGUUUCUUCAUUUUUGUACUAUUUUCAUCUGCCUUUUUAAGUUGACUAUAACCCACUUUAAGAUUUGAAUUAAAAGGAAUCACUGUA